GAGAGGUGGCAGAUUGGUCGAAUGUACCUGACUCGAACUCAGGCGAUGUCGCAGGGCAUUCGUGGGUUCGAAUCCAACGCUCUCCG
rnacentral:tRNA from 1 species